AUACGUAGGUGACAAGCGUUAUCCGGAUUUACUGGGCGUAAAGGGCGUGUAGGCGGUCUUGCAAGUCAGAAGUGAAAUUCCUGAGCUCAACUCGGGCGCUGCUUCUGAAACUGCAGGACUUGAGUGCUGGAGGGGAUAGCGGAAUUCCUAGUGGAGCGGUAAAAUGGGCAGAUAUUAGGAAGAACACCGGUGGCGAAGGCGGCUAUCUGGACAGUAACUGACGCUGAGGCGCGAAAGCGUGGGGAGCAAACAGGAUUAGAUACCCUGGUAAUCCACGCCGUAAACGAUGAAUACUAGGUGUAGGGGGUAUCGACUCCCUCUGUGCCGCAGUUAACACAAUAAGUAUUCCGCCUGGGGAGUACGGCCGCAAGGUUGAAACUCAAAUGAAUUGGCGGGG
rnacentral:rRNA from 1 species